rnacentral:rRNA from 1 species
GACGAACGCUGGCGGCGUGCCUAACACAUGCAAGUCGAGCGGGGUUGAGGCGAGAGGUAACUCGAGCUUCUACCUAGCGGCGGACGGGUGAGUAACGCGUGGGCAACCUGCCUCAAGGUUUGGGAUAACAGCCCGAAAGGGCUGCUAAUACCGGAUAUGCCUAUGGCCUCGCAUGGGGCUAUGAGCAAAGGGGAAACCCGCCUUGAGAUGGGCCCGCGUCCCAUCAGCUAGUUGGUGAGGUAACAGCUCACCAAGGCGACGACGGGUAGCCGGCCUGAGAGGGUGACCGGCCACACUGGGACUGAGACACGGCCCAGACUCCUACGGGGGCAGCAGUGGGGAUCUUGCACAAUGGGCGAAAGCCUGAUGCAGCGACGCCGCGUGAGCGAAGAAGGCCUUCGGGUUGUAAAGUCUUUUAUAUGUGAGCAGUGCUUCUAUGUGAACGCAUGGGAGAGAGAUAUUAGCAUAUGAAUAAGCAAC